GAUUUGCACAAAGGUAAGAGUGAAACAAGUAAGGUUCAGUCUCAUUACCUUAUGGACUCACCUCGUGCACUGUCUGAUAUUCUGGAACCAGGGCCCAAAGAAAAUUUUUCUCUGACUACAUCUGUUCUCAAUUCUCUCUCUCUCUCCUUUCCUUUCUUAGAGUACUUAGCACAGGCAAACCAGACAAAUAACUGCAAAACUUAUUAGGGGGAAGGGGUGGGGAGACCAGGAACUUGUGUCCUUAAGGGUAGGAAAGGCCCAA